rnacentral:rRNA from 1 species
UUUUUCCCUGGGGGGGGGUAUGGGAGGGAUCAUUACCGAGUUUACAACUCCCAAACCCAAUGUGAACGUUACCAAACUGUUGCCUCGGCGGGAUCUCUGCCCCGGGUGCGUCGCAGCCCCGGACCAAGGCGCCCGCCGGAGGACCAACCAAAACUCUUAUUGUAUACCCCCUCGCGGGUUUUUUUAUAAUCUGAGCCUUCUCGGCGCCUCUCGUAGGCGUUUCGAAAAUGAAUCAAAACUUUCAACAACGGAUCUCUUGGUUCUGGCAUCGAUGAAGAACGCAGCGAAAUGCGAUAAGUAAUGUGAAUUGCAGAAUUCAGUGAAUCAUCGAAUCUUUGAACGCACAUUGCGCCCGCCAGUAUUCUGGCGGGCAUGCCUGUCCGAGCGUCAUUUCAACCCUCGAACCCCUCCGGGGGGUCGGCGUUGGGGAUCGGCCCUGCCUUGGCGGUGGCCGUCUCCGAAAUACAGUGGCGGUCUCGCCGCAGCCUCUCCUGCGCAGUAGUUUGCACACUCGCAUCGGGAGCGCGGCGCGUCCACAGCCGUUAAACACCCAACUUCUGAAAUGUGACCUCGGAUCAUGUAGAAUCCCCACUUCC